GGCAUGAGUAGAUGCUCAGUAAGUGGUGCACAGGGUUGGUCCCUAUGGGGGAGGCCCCCUAACACCGCCCAACCCCCCUCCGUGUUCUCACAGCUCCACGCACUGAGCACGGGCAUGAAGGCCAUGAUGUCAGAAUUCUGCACCCAGGGAGCUGAGAUGUGCCGCAGAGCCUGUGGCGGACAUGGCUACUCAAAGCUGAGUGGCCUGCCAUCACUGGUCACCAAAUUGUUGGCCUCCUGCACCUACGAGGGUGAGAACACAGUGCUCUACCUGCAGGUGGCCAGGUUCCUGGUGAAGAGCUACCUGCAGACUCAGAUGUCCCCUGGCUCCACGCCACAGAGAUCUCUCCCUCCAUCUGUCGCAUAUCUCACCGCACCUGACCUGGCCAGGUGUCCAGCCCAGAGGGCAGCCGACUUCCUCUGCCCGGAGCUCUACACCACGGCCUGGGCACAUGUGGCAGUAAGGCUCAUAAAGGACUCAGUGCAGCAUUUACAGACCCUGACGCAAUCCGGAGCUGACCAGCACGAGGCUUGGAACCAGACCACUGUCAUACACCUCCAGGCUGCUAAGGUGCACUGCUACUAUGUCACUGUGAAGGGUUUUACAGAAGCUCUGGAGAAACUAGAAAAUGAACCAGCGAUUCAGCAGGUGCUCAAGCGCCUCUGUGACCUCCAUGCCAUACACGGAAUCUUGACUAACUCGGGUGACUUUCUCCAUGACGCCUUCCUGUCUGGUGCCCAAGUGGACAUGGCAAGAACAGCCUACCUGGACCUGCUCUGCCUGAUCCGGAAGGAUGCCAUCCUGUUAACUGAUGCUUUUGACUUCACCGAUCAGUGUUUAAAUUCAGCACUUGGCUGUUAUGAUGGAAACGUCUACGAACGCCUGUUCCAGUGGGCUCAGAAGUCACCAACCAAUACUCAGGAGAACCCUGCCUAUGAGGAAUAUAUAAGACCACUAUUACAAAGUUGGAGAUCCAAGCUAUGAAAUAACCAACAGUAUUCAAGAAGCAACCAGCACCAUCAUGUGAUAAUGGUACUAUGGCAUAUAUGCAACAUUAAAAUUUUAAAUUAGA
rnacentral:sRNA from 1 species